ensembl:lincRNA
AUUUUUUUAAAUUGUUAAACACUACUUUUGAAAAAAAUCUGAGUUUUUGCGUGUUAGUGGCAAAGCUAUCCCGAAUGCUCAGAAUUCAAGUGAAGGGUAAUGGUUCCAAAAGUGAUUACACUGCAUCUCGAUAGGAACGAUUUCUUUUGAGGAACUGGCCUUGAAAUGAUUCAAGACACUUCUAACUCACCGGAAUUCUAAUUUGAACAGCUCCCUCGAUCUCAGUCCAUUUCCUGAGCGAUGUUCCAUUUUUAUACUUAUCUCCGCUAUCCCAUUUUUCUGUCAUGUGUUCACAUGACUUUCAUAUUCCAGGAAGUAAAACAGAAGCUGCUCUACACCCUAAGUGGAUAUAGCUAUCUGCCUAUGGCAGACCAGUGGAGAACCAAGAAGAGGGCCAAGGCCUCUGGCGCCUCCCUCUCUGUGCUCCCGCGGCUCCAGGGCUGAGGGCCUCACUGGCCUCCGGCAGCUCUCAGCAAGUGGGCUUCAUGGCCACAGGUGCUCCUGCAGAAUGAGGCCUUGCGGCAGUGUGCUUCUUACUUCCCGGAUAAACAAAAACGUUGCGCUCAAGCGACCCCUUCUCAGAAAUGCCAAGGAUGUUAGACAAUUGCAGACAGCCUGUGCUCCCUUCUGUGGGAAGGUAGCAAGGGAAGUGCUGUUUGUUCCACACAGUAAGACACAUUCGUUCAUUCCCAGAUACUAGUAAACCUCAUAAACCUCAUGUGUGUCUAGGAGUGAGUGUGUGUGUGUGUGUGUGUGUGUGUGUGUGUGUGUGAGAACUCAAAUUACGUCACACUUUUGUAACGCUUAGCGUUUCUUUAUAUUCGGUAUGUAGGAUCCUCAGGAGAAGGACAGACCUGCCCUCCUCGACUUCAGAGCGUUCUUGGCAGUACCAGUGGGGGCUGAAGCACAAUGCACACCCAGAGCAGACGGGGCCAGGAGAGGUUUCAAGCUGCAGAAGUUGGGACAGAACCCGCCGCCACCCAGAGCCGGGACAUUGAGAAAACAGCGCCCACAGCUACGUCCAUCCCAAGGACAGAGGAAGCGGAGUGGGGAGCAGGCAAAGGGCCAACUCUUCACACACUUCUUGGGAAGACAGAUCAUUCUUACAAAGAAGCGCUAAGCCUCCACCCAGUUCUAGAGCGUCAGACUAGAGGCCCUCUUUGUCUCUCUGCUGACAGCCUUCACUGCUGCCUGACUCACUCUCCCAAAGCAAUAGCAGGGUUUCCUGCCAUCAGGGAGACAUCACAACAUCACAAUGACUAAUUUUGAUCCAAAAUACCUUCUUCACUCUGAGGGAGGGGAAGAGGUCAUCACCACGUGGGCAUGCCAAGAGAUGAACGCAGCUACAGGAGUGGAUUUGCUUUGCUCUCUUUGGCCUUGAUAUGUUAGGGGUAGAGAUUGCAGCGGAUAGGAAAGCCCUUUAACCAACUCCAAGGAGAUGACUUUUUGACUCACAGAGCUCCUGAUCCCCACCCACCCACCCCAUGCAGUAGCUUGCCCUUGGACGAGGGGCUGGAAUGACUUGGACUUCGCAGAACACUCUUUAGUGCUCUCCCUUUUUGGAUGAGUUUUCAAUGCUAGGCUACCCCAUGCCGCAGGUGACAAUGUGAGUGACUCUUUCUGACCUUCCGCGACCAUGGUUUCAAAGGGAGCAGCUUUGCUCUAGGCUCUUCUCUCUCCUUCUACUGGGAACAGACUAAAACUAGUUGUCGGUGUCAAAAGUCCGAGCCGGAGAAUGCUGGGAUUCUUGUGAGGACGUUCUGGACAAAGACAGAACCUCUCAUGUGAACUCCACAGCCCCUUAUGUGGACCACUGCCCCCUACAUGCCCACUAUUUUUUGUGGUACUAGGUAUUGAACCUUCACAUCCUCAGCCCUUUAUUUUUUGUUUUGAGAUAGGAUCUCACUAAGUCACUAAGUUACUUCGGCUGGGCUGGAACUUGCAACCCUCCUGCCUCAGCCUCCCAGAGAGCUGACAUUACAAGUGUGUGCCACCUGCCUAGCUCUGAGCCCUAUUUCCUCUACCAAAAGCUAUUUGUGGUCUAGGAAUAUAGCUCAGUGGCGCCACACCUGCCUGAUAAGUGCAAGGUCCUGAGUUCGAUUCCUGGAACCCCCCCCAAAAAAAAACCCUGCACAUAGGAUGGCUGAGGGUGUAGCUUAAGCUGGAGACUUCAAGCUGCAUCAGCACAGGAAAAGAAAAGAAGGACUAUUUUUAUUUUUAGAUGAAAUAUAUGUUCCAUAACUUCUGGUGGCCUGAAAAUUAUUAUGUGAAAGAAAUUUUAAUAUGCUAGGGUUCAUAAUAUCAUUAUUUUGUAAUGGAUUAAAAUGGCAAUGUCAUAUUAAUUUGCAUGUUUAACCGUAUCAUUAUAUAUAAGUACAGAUAUAAGAUAUAACUAUUAUAGACAUAUAUAAUAUAUAUUAUUAUUUUGCUUCUCUUCCAGUACCACCCGUAUCCUCUGGCUCAAACGUAGGAAGCUAGAAACUCCUUUAUUCCCCUGAAGAAGAACAUGCAGACAUUUCCCUAAAAAAAGACAUCAAAGCAGAACCACUUGUCGGAUACAGGUUUCUAAUGUGUAAAUGUGAAGCCAGGACAAAUUUGCCUAUGCCUGGGUUUUCACGAGAGCACUGACUCAGCUGGGUGGAUCCAGCUUUCUGACUGUCAGAGGUGCAGGCCGAGCCCUCACCAUGAACCACUAGGCCAGGGGUUGGUGAACCAGGGCUCGCGUGCAGCUGCGGGCCGCUUGUACCCUUGGAAGCUCUGAAAAGUUCGUCAUCCCCUCUCUAGGUACUUCCCCUUCUGGUGCGGAAACUUGACCUGGUCCCUCGGCUGUCACCCACUGCUGGGCCGAGGCCAGAGUCGGUCACUUCAUUUCCCUAUGGCCAGAGCCAGGGUGCGCCCAGCUCAGAAGUGUCCUUUGCCCCAGACACACAGUCUGGCUGAUAGCAUGGCCUGGACUUGAACCCCAAACUUUCAAUCUCCAAAGCCAAAGUCUGGACCCCAUACUAUGCCCCUCCCAGGAGCUGGUGCUUCUCAGACUUGCCGACACUGAAACUUUUGAAGGGAUCACUUUCAUAGAACCUCCAAAGGGGUUGGUGUCUGAGUAGGACCCGGUAGGACCUGGGCACAGGCCCGGACUCAUCCUUGCCCAGCUUGGCCUGCGGUGCUUUUCCUGACCCAGGGCAGUGCAGAGUCAGAAAGAGGCCACUUCCCACCACAGAGACAGGCUCCUAAAAUGUACCAAUAAACUCAAAUAAAAAAUAAAGAAAAAAUUCCAGCAUGGUAUUCAUCACCGG